GGAUUAGAUACCCUGGUAGUCCACGCCGUAAACGAUGGGUACUAGUUGGUGCGGGUAUUGACCCCUGCGCUGACGGAGCUAACGCAUUAAGUACCCCGCCUGGGGAGUACGGCCGCAAGGCUAAAACUCAAAGGAAUUGACGGGGGCCCGCACAAGCGGUGGAGCAUGUGGAUUAAUUCGAUGCAACGCGAAGAACCUUACCUGGCCUUGACAUCCUGAGAAGUCUCCCGAAAAGGAGACGUGCCCUUCGGGGAAUUCAGUGACAGGUGCUGCAUGGCUGUCGUCAGCUCGUGCCG
rnacentral:rRNA from 1 species